GAAUUGCAUUUAGAGCGGUCGGAGUCGUAGUGCUCUUGGCCCGGCAACCUGGGUUCGCCCCCAAGGUGCUUGCACACGAUGUGCGAUGCGGUCGGAUACCCGGCAAACCGGCGCCGAUUC
rnacentral:ncRNA from 10 species